GCUACUUUGAGGUUUGAAACAUAUUUUAAAGGCCAUUUAGUAAAAACUUUCUUUUUCUAUAUCAGGAAACCUCUAAGCUCUUUGCUUUGUUGGGGAACAAUGAAAAUUUUAAGUCUCAGCCUUUUAAGAAGUAAUAAUUAGUAAAGUCAUGAAUUAUUGUUCUCAGAAGCCCUGGAAGAUUUAAAAUUCUCUUGAAGCCAGAGCUAAAUAUACUUUCCUCUCUCACCCACCCAGAGAUGGUUGAAACCUUGUGCUUAAGUUCAAUGUGUCUAUUUCUAAACAGCAUUUAGAAGCCUCUCAAUUCUGUGCUGAAGUUUCUAGUCUGUGUUUGGUUACAUACUGAAUAUUAAUGAUACAAAAGGAAAUAGGGGAGAAUGAGAGCUGCAGAUUCAAUUGUCUGAAUACCACACUUUUUAUCUUUUCUUAAUUGAAAAAGCAAAGAACAAAGUCAGCUAUGGGAACAGUAUAGUGUAUUGUACCAUUAGUUGUACCAAUUCUUUAGUCAGAUUGCCUAUUUCUCACCAUUUAGUAGAGGAGUGACAUUGAACAGGUCACUUAAUUUUUUGAGCUACAGUUUUCUCACUUAUCAAAUGGGGAAAAUACAGAUAAAUACACUCCAGUGCUACAAAGACAAAAAUAUCACCUGCCUCGCAGGUUUGUUGUGAACAGCAAAUGGCUUAACCCAAGUCUGAUGCUUCGGGCAGUGAAAGCCUCUAAAGUAACAAAACUUCUAGUGUCCACCUUACAGAAAUGCAGUGUGUCCAACUGGUAGCAAAUGUGCAGUGAAAAGAAUUGAAACCUGGCAGUCUGAUGAUCGGAUCAACCUUGGCGGUUUUCUGCUUGGAAUAUGUAAAGGGAGGUGGUUCAUCCCAGGAGUUGAGAAUGUGGUCUGAGAAUAAGCCAGCAGUGAACCUCGGAGGCUGGGAAAAAAGAAGAGGAGAAUCAGAUGAAACUCUUCAUCUUAGAGGCAGAGAAAAAACCCAAAGGAAAUGAGUCACAUUUCAGAGAUGAGCCUGGGAAUACAAAUCAAAACUGUGAUUUAUCACGGAUUAUGCUGAAGAUACUGAUUGUACAACUGAGCACAAAUGCAGGAAAACCCCAGCGGGCCCCUGGGCUGGCAUUUCUAGACUGAUUCUCCUUCUUCAUUUUUGGUUUGUGGCUGAGUGGCCUCUCUAUGGCACAGAUUCUUAGUGACUGUCAUUUUCUCUUCCUGAUGGUGCAUGGUCCACCAUGGACAAUCUAUUUCAUUUGCUCUAGACUCAGGGGGCUGGAGCAGGAAUAUCAACUCUCUAACCUAUCUAGCCUGGGAGAUGGGCCCAGGAAGCUUGAGGUUCUUUUCACUUCUGUGAGUGUGGCUGUGGUCCAAGAAGUAGGGAGCUGUGGGUUUCAACGCUUACCUAGCAAUCCACACGGCUGUAGCAGUGUCUGCAGUUAGCAGACUCUGCCAUCCAGUGGGGAAACAUUAACAGAGUUACCCAGCCUUUCGAAGGGGACUAGAGUAGGCUCCUGGAAUUGAAAACUCUGAUUAAAACCCCUUGAGGCAUUUUUUUACAGUGCAGCUUUCUGGGCCUUGACCCUAUCAUUCUAAUUGAUGAGUCUGUGGUGGUUUGCAAGAAUCUGCAACUUUAACAAGCACCCCCUUCCUCCACUGAUUCUACAAAAGGGGUCCACGUUCAGACACCCCUGUCCAGUCCCCAGGGUAAGUCACAUGCUCAGCCCUCCCGGCUCCCCUCCCUUGCUGUCCAGGUUGGAAAAUGAACAACAGGAACUCCAGGUGGAAAACUUCAAGAGGUUCUCAAAGCAGACUGCAGUAGCUACAAGGAAGUUCUGCACAGAUGACGUCCAGCCCUGGCAGUAAUGAGCUUCUGUUAGCAGUCCCUUGGCAGUGUUCUUAGUGCACUUAGUCCCUGCUCUUAGUGCAAAAUCCAUCUGGGAAGACGCCGCCUUCCAUGUGCAGCUGGCAGGUGGGAAGCCCCCAGCAGGCAAGCCCUGAUUGUCCAGAGCAUCUGGUUACGAGAGACCGCACCCCUCCGGGGUCCCUUUACAACCUGUACUGCAGCAGAUGGACGUGACUGUACACAGCCUGUCCGUGAGAGAUGUUUCCUGCCUUUGCAAGGUGAUGACAAGCUCUUUGUUUGGUCAUGUUCUCCCGAGGGUGCCCUACCCCCAAACUGGGAACCACCAGGCUUAUAAUAGAUGUGUUUCAUCUCUCCCUAGAGGGUUCUGGGCUCUGGUCCAGUAGGUUCCAGAGAUGAUGGACACAGUCCAGAGAGCACCAUCUGUGGUUGUCCUAACUCGGAAGAGGCAAAGGGACAUCCGACUCCCUUUGGGGAGGAUCUGGUGGGUUUUGCCACAUCAUGAUUCUCCCCCACUGUCUCCUGCUCCCAAGGUUACACUGCUUCUGGCAGCAUGGAUGAUGAGCCUGAUCUGGGCAAAUCACUCAAUUUCCUGGUUCUUUGGAACUUCCAGAUACUAUGUGGUGCGGGGUGUGGACAGGUACUGCCUGGUACCCUGGGGGGCCACAGUGAAUGCUUGUGCCAGAGCUCACACUGAUUACCCAAGGACCCCGCUUCUUCCUAAUGUCUCUUGCAGUGAGGCUGGCCACAUCCUGGAGUUCCAGCCCCAUAAGAGAUGUGCUCACCUCCCAGCCUGGACAUAACCCACCUCACGGACUUUCCCAUUUUCAUUCCCAUCUCCUCGAUGGGAGGAGGGGACCCUCUCCCCAGGGUACAUCAUGGAGGAGACAGCUUUGUCUGUCAGGCCCUGAAUGACUGGUUAUGUGAGAAAUAAAUUGCUCAUGUGGGCACCAAAACUCAGAGUCUGUUUGAGGAUUAGCUAUGUUAACACAGUACCAGCUGGCAGCCUUGCAAAUGGCUCACCCUAGUGAUGCCACUAUUUUCUGUGCCAUAUACAGCCUUCCCAGGGCAGGAAGCUGAAGAAACUAUUUUCCCUAUACCCUGUCCAUCCAAACGGAGUGGACCUGUGCUUUGCCCUCUUGUUAGGAAUCCAGAUUACAAACAAGAUGGCUACUCCUUCUGUAAACAGAAAGCAAAGGUGUGAGUUGGAACUUUGUCUGGUCUUACAGUCAUCAAGUAGAUUACUCACAGUAAUCAAGCUCUUGAUACAAGUACCUGAGAACUGAACUCAGGGCUGUUAGAGCCUGUACUUCAGCUAGUUUUAGGAUGCAAAGUGGCCACCACCAUGUCAUCUCCAA
ensembl:lncRNA